UGUUUAUGAAGGUGACAGUCACAGAAAUGCAAAAUUAUUGCUUAAAUUUCAGCUUGCAGCAGAUCUUCUACGUUGCAAAUCAUUAGCCCUAUGCUUUGGCAAACUAUCAGAAUCCAUAUCCGAAAAGGAUGAAUAUGAUGCAUAUACUUUCUUCUGCGAUCCAAAACAAGUCCUGUAGUUCCUGCAAGCAUGCUUCGCUGCUUUCCAACAGAUCUUGCACGGUGGUUUGAUGCAGCACAAAACAAUGCAAAAAGGACAAGAAACACAGAAUAAACAAGCACUGCAAGUAUACUCUACAGNNNNNNNNGAUGAAGCAAAGAUAAAUUUCUUAGACAAAGAGGAAGAACAGGAAUUGGAACAAGCCCUUGCCUCCAUUCUGUCAUAUCUCUUGUCGAAGAAAUUUAUCUUUGCUUCAUCUCAAAGGAUUAAGAGUUGAAACCUUCUGCUCUCCAGUAUUAAUGCUGGGAUAACUUCAAAAGGGGAUUUGACGGGCUGUGUCUUUUUCAAGAAAUUACAAGGUUUCAAUAUUAACAAAUUCAGGAUGCUGUAGUUAUGGCGAUGAACACUGCAGAUCCAUCUUCCUGAGAAAACUUUGAAGGAUUAGUUUUGUAGACCUUAGCAACUAGCUUUCAUCUUUACUCUCCUUUUGGACCUCUUUCCGACGACUUUUCAUCA
rnacentral:misc_RNA from 1 species